rnacentral:rRNA from 1 species
AUUGAACGCUGGCGGCAUGCCUUACACAUGCAAGUCGAACGGCAGCACGGGGCAACCUGGUGGCGAGUGGCGAACGGGUGAGUAAUAUAUCGGAACGUGCCCUGGAGUGGGGGAUAACGCAGCGAAAGUUGCGCUAAUACCGCAUACGAUCUAAGGAUGAAAGUGGGGGAUUCGCAAGAACCUCAUGCUCCUGGAGCGGCCGAUAUCUGAUUAGCUAGUUGGUGGGGUAAAGGCCUACCAAGGCAUCGAUCAGUAGCUGGUCUGAGAGGACGACCAGCCACACUGGAACUGAGACACGGUCCAGACUCCUACGGGAGGCAGCAGUGGGAAUUUUGGACAAUGGGCGCAAGCCUGAUCCAGCAAUGCCGCGUGAGUGAAGAAGGCCUCGGUUGUAAG